UACGUAGGGGGCAAGCGUUGUCCGGAUUUAUUGGGCGUAAAGAGCGUGUAGGCGGCCUGAAAGGUCAGCUGUGAAAACUCGAGGCUCAACCUCGAGACGUCGGUUGAAACCAUCUGGCUAGAGUCCGGAAGAGGAGAGUGGAAUUCCCGGUGUAGCGGUGAAAUGCGCAGAUAUCGGGAAGAACACCCGUGGCGAAGGCAGCUCGCUGGGACGGUACUGACGCUGAGACGCGAAAGCGUGGGGAGCAAACAGG
rnacentral:rRNA from 1 species